rnacentral:tRNA from 1 species
GGGGGUAUAGCUCAGUGGUAGAGCAUGUGCUUAGCAUACACUAAGCAUGAGGUCCUAGGUUUAAUCCUCAGUACCUCCA